ACUACAUUCACUAUACACUCACUACAAACACACUACAUUCACUAUACACCCUCUGCAUUUACUAUACACACGCUGCAUUCAUUAUACACAUUCUGCACUCACUACACACUACAUUCACUAUACACACUCUGCAUUCACUACAAACACACUACAUACACUGCAUUCAUUGUACACACUGCACUCAAUACAAACACACUACAUUCACUAUACACACUCUGCAUUCAUUAUACACACUCUGCACUCACUACAAAAACACUACAUUCACUAUACACACUGCAUUCACUAUACACACACUGCACUCACUACAAACACACUACAUUUAUUAUACACACUGCACUCACUACAAAUACACUACAUUUAUUAUACACACUGCACUCACUGCAAAUACACUGCACUCACUACAAAUACACUACAUUCAUUAUACACACUCUGCACUCACUAAAACACACUGCAUUCAUUAUACACACUCUGCACUCACUACAAAUACACUACAAUUAUUAUUCACACUGCACUCACUACAAACACACUACAUUUAUUAUUCAUACUCUGCAUUCACUACAAACACACUCCAUUCAUUAUACACACCCUGCACUGCACUAUAUGCAUAGGAGUGUAAUUUUUUUAUUAUUUUUUUUA